rfam:Schistosoma mattheei strain Denwood, Zambia genome assembly, scaffold: SMTD_scaffold0025277
AUUUAGCUAACGAGUCCAAAAUAGGACAAAAUGCGUGUCCUGGAU